CAACAAUUUGCCACAUUUUAGUGUUGGUCUCGGAAAUAUUGAAGAUUCAACAGCAGAAUCUUCAAGUAGUGGUAGGAGAGAGAGAGAUGGAGGCAUAGUUCCAGUCUGGUCCCCUCCAUCUGCUAGUUACUCAGAACAGUUUGCCGGUGAUGAAAAUGGAAUUGGAACAAGUUCUUAUUUGCAGAGGCAUCCACAAUCGCACCAGAUAAUGAAUUGGAGGCGGCUAUCUCAGACUGGAUAAGAAGUAAAAAACAUAUAUUCAUGGCGAGACUUGGUGCUAGGAGGUGGAGAACGCAAUGGUGCUUAAUCCUGUGAGUUAGCGGGUUGAUAAACCAAGUCCCAGUACUUGUAUCAUUACCCAUCUAUGUUCUUCUCACCAAUUUAAUCUGAUCAGUGGUGACCUUCAAUGUGUAUCAUAGUCCGAAGAGAUUCAAGCAGCCCAUCUUCUUCUCACCAAUUUAAUCUUAUCAGUGGUGACCUUCAAUGUGUAUCAUAAUAAGAAGAGAUUCAGGCAGCCCAUCUGCUAUCCUUUUCUGUACCUUUUGUACCAUAAUACAUAGUUCUGCUGUAUAGUAUUUAGAAGCGAGGGAUGAGAGUGAUCAUUGAGAUUUGUAGUUCUCUAAUAAACCCAGGUUUGUGCUUUUUUUUUUAACAGAAAAUCAUCUUCCCAAUCAAUUAAAUAGAAA
rnacentral:misc_RNA from 1 species